rnacentral:lncRNA from 1 species
CACCACAGCUCAUAACAACGCCGGACCCUUAACCCACUGAGCGAGGCCAGGAAUAGAACCCAAGUCCUCAUGGGUAUAAGUCAUAUUCAUUAACCACUGAGCCACAGCGGGGCUCACCCUAGGUCAGGGAUUGAAUCUGAUUUGAGCUGCAGCUAUGAACUAUGCCACAGCUGCAGCAACACUGGCUCCUUAGCCCACUGUGCUAGGCCAGGGAUCAAACCCACACCUCUGUAGCACCCUGAGCUGCUGCAGUUGGGUUCAUAACCCACUGCACUACAGUGGGAACUCCCAUCUCUAUUUUUUUUCUGUCUUUUGUCUUUUUAGGGCCACAACCACAGCAUAUGAAGGUUCUCAGACUAGGGGUCUAAUCAGAACUGUUGCUGCCAGCCUACGCCAGAGCCACAGCAACACCAGAUCCCAGCCGCAUCUGUGACCUGCGCCACAGCUCAUGGCGAUGCCAGAUCCCAAACCCACUGAGCAAGGCCGGGGAUCGAAUCUGCAACCUCAUGGUUCCUAGUCGGAUUCAUUUCCGCUGUGCCACGAUGGGAACGCCCCGUCUCUGUUUUUGUGCACCACCCUGCUCUGCUCCACCACGGGUCAUUCUCCCUCUUCUCUGUCCCCUAUCCCUCCCCCCAGCUGGUCAUCAGACCCCUUGUGGGGCCGUGCUGACUCCUGGUGGGAAGACUUCCCAGUAAUGUUUCACAGCCUGCGGAAAAGAAGCAGACAAUGGCUAGAACCUCAAAGGCCCCUGAAUCUCUUCCCACUCCCGGCCCACGGGGAGCCCGCCUCUUUCCUCAGUUUCUUCCUUUUGUAGUGGGUGACCCUGCAGCUUGCUGGGGUGGUCAGAUGCAGGGUGAAGGGGGGAAACUCACUCAGUUAGCAGGGACCCCUCAGAACGGAGAGCGCAUUCCUGUGGCCAGGAGCUGCCUGGCCAGGGGCUCUGGGGCGAUGAGGGGGCGCGGUCUGGGCAGAGGCCUGCAGGGAUUGGGGCUGCCCCGUCUGGGGCAUUGGUGGUUCCAGGAAGAGGGCUGUUCUCUCAGAGCCCUCUCUUUGGCUGAUUUUGCAUUUGAAUUACAAACAGGGAUAAAGCUGGAGGCAGAUGGGAGCAGCAGAGGGAACCCUGCAGGCAGCGGGGAGCCUGAGCAGAGGCAAAAAUGAGGCUAAUCAUACGUGUGUUAUAUCUGCCAGGGAGGUGCCUGGCUCACUUGGCAUCGAGAGCCUUCUUAGGAGAGGUACAGAGAAGGAUGGAGGAGGGGUUAAACAGGAAGGCACCCUUUGGGCUGCCUCCCCCCUCCACCCCAGGGGCUAAUAGAGCUUGGGAAUCUUCUCCAAGCAGGCCAUGGUGAUUCUUAUAACGCAACACAUCUUGGACUCAGGAAAGGAGAACUGGAGGAGAAUAAAAACGGACCCUCUGAAGUUCAAAUACACUGCUCCCCAGCGGGGUCGCUUUCCAUCCCUCUCCUCCAAACACAGCCUUUCCCGUGUUUGCUGUUCUGGUGGCCGCUGUCAUCUCUCGAGAUGGAGUUUUCCAUUCUUGGAAGGAAGCUCUGCCCAAGCCAAGGGUGUGGCCACAACUUCCUAAAGCGCCCGUGGAGCCCCACCGAGAAACUCAAGGCCACGGCCCUGGGGAGCGGUGGGCGGCUCUACGGGUGUCUGGCUGGUGGAUCUCUGCUCCGGGCCCCAGCUAACAGGCUGUUAGCAGCUUCCCCAAGGAGACACACGUUUUUAGUUGCAUCACUUUCACAGGCUUUUCUCAUCAGUUCAGCUUUUUUAUUUGUUGUUCUAAGCUGCUGGCUUACCUUGUCUUUAUCAGCUCUUACCCUGCGUCCUGACCAUCUCUCAAGUGGGAAAGUGCCUGGCAAAACAUCAAUUUCCUCUGAAUGGAGCGUCUGAAUUGUCCAUGAAAUGAAAGCUUGUUCCCUGGGAGAACUUUAAUAGAGCCUCGGCCCAGAGGUUGUAGCUGAGCCACUUGGACUUUUGGUGCCACCAGGGACAAAACACCUCAAUAUUGGCGUGUACCGUGUUAAUGCGUGUCAGAGCAUGCGCGUGACUAUAGUUGUGCACUUACACAGGCACUCACAUGUACACACACCCACGGGGCUGGAAGGGCAGGGCCUGGGGUGGGGGGAAGGCUCUUUUAAAGGGACAGUUCUUUUCCUCUCACCUGCGGAGCUCCGGGUUAGCAUGGCGAAGGUUGAAACCAGUCCCAGCUCUGCCUCUAAGUUGCUGUGGGUCCUUGGGGAAGUCACUUCACUUCUCUGAGCUCCAUCUGCAAAGUGGAUACAAAAACCUAGAGACUCAGAGUGUAUGCCAUGCUGUAGUCAGCCUUUAAGGCAAGAAACAGAAGCCACUCUAGGUAUUUCAAGCAGAAAGGGAUUUUAUACAGAGAAUGAGGAUUUUCUAAAAUCCUUGGAAGAGCGAAAUGAAAUCAAAGGUUGCCGGGUAGGGAACCUACUGUUCCCAUCAAAGUCACCCCCACUCCUUGAAGCUGGUGAUGGGACCGUAGAGCCCAGCCACCACCAGCACUUGUGUCUGCCUGGCCCUGCUUGUCUGACCCUCACCUCUGCAGAGACGUCACGACUCCUCUGAACACCUCUCUCCAAAUCCAGAAGAAAUACAUCUAAUGGGUAGAACCUGAACUGAGCUACAAGGCGACCUGGGAAGUGUAGUUUCUAGCUUUGCAGGCUCUGGAGAUAGAAGGUGAAAUGCAGAAGCAGUGGGAGCAUCUGGCACAGCCUUUUUGCUCCCAAGUUCAUGAUUCUGCCGGGGAGAUGAUCAGCAGAAACAUCAGGUUGUCUAAGUUGUUCUUGGCCUUGCCACACUUCACCGGGGCUCCUGAGCGGCUCCCAGCCUGAAAGGAGAGACAGCCCUGCACGUGGGGCCCUGGGUUUGGAUGCCUGUGAGGUCUACUUCUGACCUCCAUGCUCUGUGGGAGUGCGAGGGUCAGGAAGGAACCUGCCAGUUGCCUCUCUUCCCGUGGUCCCUCCUGCCCCAGUUCCCAUCCUCGUGUGAGAGUGAACAAUAGGAUUUGAAGGACCGAGAAUUGCAGGAGGAACUUGGGGAGGAAAUCAAGGGUUUUCUUCUGGAGUCACAUGGCCAAAACCUUGACUCUAUUAUCUAGGGAUAGAUGGCUCCCUCCUCAGCUGGGAAGGAUGGGGUAGGCAGGAUGCAGCAGAAUCUGAGUUCAGCGGGGGUCUGGCGUGGGCCAGGGACAGAGGGGACCAGCUCCACCGCCCUGCUCUCCCCUGACAGGGAAAGGGAUGCUGAGCAGAGUGGAGGGUCGGAGGCUGGCUGCUGCUGGUGGGCUGCGAGCAACAGCGGCAGGGGAAGGAAUGGGGGUUUACACACUGUUCACCGAGAAACUCCCCUGGGUCUGCAUCGCUCCUUUAAAUUGGCACUGAUUGUGCCUCCCUCCCCAUGCCUGUCGGUAGAACAGCAGGGAGGGAAGAUGCCAAGGAGGGAGGAAACGCAGCUCCUUCAAAAGCUGGGCUCCUGGGAGUUCCCGUUGUGGCUCAGUGGUAACAAGCCUGACUAGUAUCUGUGAGGAUGUAGGCUCGAUCCUUGGCCUUGCUCAGUGGAUUAAGGAUCUGGUGUUGCCGUGAGCUGUGGUGUAGGUCACAGAUGCGGCUUGGAUCCCGCAUCGCUGUGGCUGUGGUGUAGGCUGGCAGCUGUAGCUCCAGUUCGACCCCUAGCUUGGGAACUUCCUUCCAUAUGCCGCAGGUGUGGCC